rnacentral:lncRNA from 1 species
AGAGAUGAAGAGGAAGUCCAUUUCCAAGAGUUGAGUAUGAUGGCACUAUGAGACCCUAGCUAGGCUACUCUGGGGGUUGGGGAAUAACUCGCCAAGUGAGAGAAGGCAUGGAAACUAGAAAGGAUCUAGUUCAAUUUGGGACAUUUUGAGUAUGAGGUAUCUCUGGGACAUUGAGAUAGGGGAGGGGGUCUAGAAGGCAGAUGAAUAUCAACACCAUACCCUAACAAGGCUUAAAUAUUUGCAGUCUCCUAAAAAAUUCUAAAAACACUUCACACUUUUCUGCUUCUGCAUACACUGGACUUUCUAACCUGCAUAGUGCCCCCUCUCACACCUACUCAUCCUUCAGGUAUUAGGCCCAACCAGCCUCUCCUGGAAGCCCUCCCUGCAUCCUCAGACAGGCACAGGCUGCCUUCUUCAGAGACAAACCAUCUCUAAGUAUGCAUAUUUCCACCCACAUGGAUUCUCCCAGGAAGCCUUCCUGAUUUAACCAAGAUGACAUAAGAAAGUGUAACAUACUCGGCUCAGGGAACUAGAUAACUUUUUUCUUCUAUUGCAAUGAGUACAUUUGCUCCCCAGCAAUCUCUUAGUUAUAUCAGUUUCUUAGGACUGCCACAAACUGGUUGGC